UUUUUUUUUUUUUUUUUGUAAAAAGUGCUUUCAUUAUCUUAGACAUCUAUUGGCAGCUCAGAGGCACCGUUUCCUUUUGAACUUUGUGAACAAAUUCAAAUGGGGAGGGGGAGAAAAACCACCCCCACUUUCCAAAAAGCUCCCUAUGGUCAAAAGGGCCCUGAGCUUAAGCUGCACUGAGGCUCUGAGCCAGCUGCAGCAGCAUCCCAGCAGUGUGACAUCUGAAGCCCUGUGUUUAGGAUUACCACCCAGGUUCUCCAAAGCUAAAGAUACUUGUAAAAUUAUUUCAUAAAAUGCAAGCCAAGUAAACUGGAUGAUGCUCUCCCUGUUUGUCCCCUGGAGUGGGAACACACAGUUUAGGCUUUGGUGCCUUCCCUCGUCCCUCAGCACAAACAGGAGAAGCAGCUGAAGGAUUUGGAAGCUGCAAGGAUGAAGUGGAGCUCUCGGGCAGUAACCAGAGCUGAGCUGAGGGAAAACAGCUGCAAGCUGGACACCAGCAGCAUCCAGUGCUGUCCUCAGGGAGCCAUGGGAGGGCUGGUCCCUCACCUCGGGAUGUCCUUAGCCCUGCUGGGAUUUGGUGCUGGGAUUUGUCCCCAUCCAGCCCUGCCCGGUGAUGCUGAGCAGUUCUGCUGCAGCUGGAGGAAACAGCCUGGUGGGGAAGAGGAGGUGGGGGAGGAAGGAGAGGAGCUGGGCAGCCCAGCAGGAUAAGGAGCUCACAGAAUGCAGAGGCACGUUUGAGCUGGAGCUCCCACACAGCCGCAGCGCCCAGACACAGACAUGUGGAGUCAUAGAUCCAGCCAAUAAUUUGGGGUGGGAGGCAGCUUUAAAGGUCAUCCAGCCCAACCUCCCUGCUACGAGCAGGGACAUCUUCAACCAGAUCAGGUUGCUCAGAGCCCUGUUCAACCUGAUCAUGAAUGUUUCUGACGUCACUGUAGAAUACUUCUUCAUAUAGGAUCUCGAUUGACCCUCUUUUAGCUUAAAAUCAUUACUCCUCGUCCUAUUGCUACAGGUCCUGCUAAAACUCUGCCCCUAUCUUUCUUGUUAAGCCCCUUUAGAUGCUGAAAAACGCAGCUAUGAGGUUCCCCCAAAACCUUCUCCUCUCCAGGCUGAACAAUCCCAGUUCCCUCAGCCUUUCCUCCCAGCAGAGCUGCUCCAUCCCUCUGCUCCCCUUGGUGUCCCUGCUCUGGUCUGGCUCCAGCAGCUCCCUGUCCUUGCUGUGCUGGGAUCCCAGGGCUGGAUGCAGCCCUGCAGGGGGGUCUCAGCAGAGCGGGGCAGAGGGGCAGAAUCCCCCCUGCCCUGCUGCCCUGGGGCUCUGGGUGCAGCCCAGCACAGGGGGGGUUUGGGGGCCAGUGCACGUUGCUGGCCCAUCCAGCCCCAGAAGCUGAUGUCCAGUUUGCACUGAUUUUCUCAGGGCUAGCUCCUGCUUUCACACACCUUUGCGCCUCCCCUUGCAGGCUGGAGAAAGGUUUUUUGGCAAUUCCAUGACUGAUGUGCCUCUAGGGUACAGCCCAGGAGCAGCUCAGCAGCAGGGUCUGGCCUGGGCUACACUCAGCUUCACACUGAACUCUUGUUUCCACCCCUCUGUACUGAUCUUGGCAUCUCUUACAUUUUCCUGUAAUAAUCCUGUCUAUGCCAUUGAUUUAGACAAUAGUAAUUGAGCUUCAAACUUAAUUACAGUAUGAGAACAGGCUGUCACUUGACUGAAGACACUUCUUGAUUAUUUAUUUCAAUAAAUAAUCUUACCUGACCCUGCAACUUGGCAUGAGGGGACUAGACACUGGGGUCUCUUUUAUGGCUGUGUUUAUGUCCUUUCUGUCACAUGCAGCACUUCAAUGAAUACCAAGCCCUGGCUCCCAGUGACUCUCCUUUCCCUAAACUUCCAUUAGUGGUAGUUUAGAGAAAGAAGAGACCAGAGAGGGAUUCUCUCCGAUCCCUCACUUCAAGUCCUUCCUCACUCCCACCCAGCUGAUCCUGCUGCCAGGCUGCCCUGAUCCACUGACACCAGGGGAUGCUGGGCAGGCAGGAUCUGCUGUGGCUGCAGAGUCGUGCCCUGGGCAAGAAAUGGCUCAAAUAAAAUGAUUGAUAGGAUGAGGCAGCGGCUUCAGCCAUUGCUCUUACAGGGAUAUUUGGGCCUUCCAAACAGGCAUUGUGUCCCCAGGCUUGUCCAGGGAAGCUGAAGUGGCUGAAGAUGCUCUGAGACUCAGCCUGUAGUUAAGGGAACCCAUUUGCUUCUCCAACAAGUAGUGAACAGUAUCAUUUAUUCCAGAGCUGUUUGCCUGGAAUUCCUCUGUGGGACCAUAUCACCUCUAAGAAGGUGAUUAAUUCCCUCCAGCCUUUACAAUUACCCUCUGUAAUGAUCAAUACCUUGGGCAUUUGGUCUUAGAACAACAGUUUUUAGAGAGCAAUUCUUCUCUGCUGUGACUUGAUGUCUGCCUCUGUGACUUCACAAUCUGAAAUAAAUCCUUUGCCAGCUGUUCCAAGCCCAAAAAAAUGCAUCUGGACCUACAGGAAGUUGAGCUCCAGGUUCAAAACACAAACCUGGUUUUCACCUGCCAGGAGGCUGAGCUACCUGAGGCCACCUCAGACUUCAGAAAAACUUGAACUUCUGCCAAAAUUCAUAAUCAAUGCCCUUUUAUAUUAUGCUGGAGUUGUUUCCUACCAGAAACCUUGGUUUUAUGAACAGAUACAUCAAUUUUAAAGCUGAUGCUAAUUUUAUAAUCCCAACCUGGUGAUUUUUUUUUUUGGUACCCACUUAGUUAUGGGUGAAUCACACACCUUUGCUGAUGCACUCACACCAUUUCCUCGCAGAGGUAUCAGCUGUAGGUGUGUCAGAGAGAGAAAACCUUCUCUUGAUGAUACCUGAGCCUGAAGCACACUAUGUUUCAAUUCUCCUGCUUAUGUUUCAGUGAAUUCCACUCUCAAAAUGGAAACGUGGGAGUCCUGGUUCCUGACUGCCACGUUACAAUGUGCAGAAAAGUUACGAGAGUGGGAUGCACACCCUGGGAGUGCCUCAGUGACCCUCACCCUGCUCCUGUCCACCGAGGCAAGGGGGUGUGUGAGCAAAGCUAUUUCCAUCCCAGGUUCUGCCAUCUCCUCUUCCUACAAACUCAAACAUGACCUCAGAUCCCAGCUUUCCUCCUGCUGCCCUCUUUCUAAUUCUCUUUUGGGUCUGGGUGAGUGUUCAAAGAACAUCCUCUCUUGUCCUUCCAAGGGGCCAAGCAUUCUUAAGCUUCAUGCAGGCAAUGUUUUCCUGUCACAUUCAUAAACUGAGGCAAACAGACAAGCCUUAUGAAGAAGGACCAGGAUGGUUUCUGUCCCAUUAAUGGAAUUUUUGAGAAACUCGGUACAGUUUUAGGAAAAAAAAAAAAAAAAAAGU
ensembl:lncRNA